CUGAUUGGAGAAGGGCUGUGCCGCGCUGCUCACCCAUCCGACUCCUUCUCGAAGAAGAAACCUGGAGACCGGAGGCCAGGAGACAGAGGGUCUGGAGGUCCCUUGGACAGCCACCCCACCCGGGGAGUGCAAACCCAGCCCCGAGCCGCUGCAGGAAGUGGACGAGCGAAUUGCUUCAAGGUUCAGGAAGCUUUAGCUCCUGGUCACCUAUCGGUGCUUUUUGUUGGUUGGACAGAAAGGUAUGGACAGAAGACAUUUUCACUAAAGAAGGUAGAGGUGCAGGCUGCUUCAUCUUCCAGGAUACUCUUCUUUUUCCAAGAACUAUUUUGACUUAAGCUGAUGUUUAAACUCCUCUGGAAGACUGAGUAUGGAGCAACUGAUGUCUGAGCAUCUGAGGACUUUCUGAAGUAUAAAAGUAGUCACAGACAUGAUGCCCAGCUCAAAUAACUUACCAUAUAGAAUUAGGAGAAAGAAAUUUUUAUAAAGUAUUUCAAUGCAUGUGCUACGAUAAAAAUAUUAAUACUUUAUAUCGUUAUCUUCUUAGUUUUAGCGUUCUUGGAUUUUAAAAUGGUAUGCACAGCAGUGUGUAUUUGAAAGUGAUGCAUUUUCCAUGUAUUUAUUUGGAUUCAUUUUAGAGAGUAAACGUUCUGUGAUAGCACCAGGACUGAAAAAAGACAGGCUACUCACUAUGAGGAUGGGACAAGCCAUCGUAGCGUCAGCCCAUUACAGGUGAAGAUGCGUUACUAAGGAGGAAGGCCCUUGUCAGAGGCAUCAUCCCCACUAGGAAGCUGUGGAGCUGGUUUGCUACAUUGUUUGUUGAUCCAAUGCGUGAAAGAAUGAAGACAUUUAGGAAAAGAAAAUUAAUGCUGCCGAAUAGCUCCUCAUCAUGCGUGAUUUAACAAGGGGGCAUCAUUUUGUUAAUAAGUGAACACCUACUAAUUGCUGAAAUUAAAAAAUGCAUACCCUUC